UACGGAGGGUGCAAGCGUUAUCCGGAUUCACUGGGUUUAAAGGGUGCGUAGGCGGGCAGGUAAGUCAGAGGUGAAAUCUCCGGGCUUAACCCGGAAACUGCCUUUGAUACUAUCUGUCUUGAAUAUGGUGGAGGUAAGCGGAAUAUGUCAUGUAGCGGUGAAAUGCUUAGAUAUGACAUAGAACACCCAUUGCGAAGGCAGCUUACUACGCCUAUAUUGACGCUGAGGCACGAAAGCGUGGGGAGCAAACAGG
rnacentral:rRNA from 1 species